GAUGAAGAACGCAGUGAAAUGCGAUAAGUAAUGUGAAUUGCAGAAUUCAGUGAAUCAUCGAAUCUUUGAACGCACAUUGCGCCCGCCAGUAUUCUGGCGGGCAUGCCUGUUCGAGCGUCAUUUCAACCAUCAAGCCCCAGGCUUGUGUUGGGGACCUGCGGCUGCCGCAGGCCCUGAAAACCAGUGGCGGGCUCGCUGUCACACCGGGCGUAGUAGAUUUUAUCUCGCUCAGGGCGUGCUGCGGGUUCCGGCCGUUAAAAAGCCUUUUUUACCCAAGGUUGACCUCGGAUCAGGUAGGAAGACCCGCUGAACUUAAGCAUAUCAAUAAGAGGAGGA
rnacentral:misc_RNA from 1 species